rnacentral:lncRNA from 12 species
UUCAUAUCAUCCAAUCAACAUUUCUGCUACUGAAAGGGUAAUUUCUGCCAUGGGGAACGUGUUCCCAGAAUCUACUUCCGGCCUGGUAUUUAGGGACCAGAGAUCGAGUUGGGCUCGUGCUACAGAUCUCAAUCCCACCUCCUGAGACUCCAAAUGCCAACAUAAAUAUCAACACAAGUCACUAAGU